rnacentral:rRNA from 1 species
CGGGGGGAGCAAGCGUUGUUCGGAUUUACUGGGCGUAAAGGGCGCGUAGGCGGCCACCGCAAGUCAGUUGUGAAAUCUCUGGGCUUAACCCAGAAAGGUCAACUGAUACUGCGGGGCUAGAGUGCAGAAGGGGCAACUGGAAUUCUCGGUGUAGCGGUGAAAUGCGUAGAUAUCGAGAGGAACACCUGCGGCGAAGGCGGGUUGCUGGGCUGGCACUGACGCUGAGGCGCGAAAGCUAGGGGAGCGAACGGGAUUAGAUACCCCGGUAGUCCUAGCCUUAAACGAUGAAUGCUUGGUGUCUGGGGUUUUAUAGUCCCCGGGUGCCGUCGCUAACGCUUUAAGCAUUCCGCCUGGGGAGUACGGUCGCAAGACUG